UACGUAGGGAGCAAGCGUUGUCCGGAAUCAUUGGGCGUAAAGCGCGCGUAGGCGGCCUCAUAAGUCCGUUGUGAAAGUCAAAGGCUCAACCUUUGAAAGCCGAUGGAUACUGUGAGGCUAGAGUCCGGAAGAGGCGAGUGGAAUUCCUGGUGUAGCGGUGGAAUGCGCAGAUAUCAGGAGGAACACCAAUAGCGAAGGCAGCUCGCUGGGACGGUACUGACGCUAAAGGCGCGAAAAGCGUGGGG
rnacentral:rRNA from 1 species